rnacentral:rRNA from 1 species
AGCCAGCUUGCUGGUGGAUUAGUGGCGAACGGGUGAGUAACACGUGAGUAACCUGCCCUUAACUCUGGGAUAAGCCUGGGAAACUGGGUCUAAUACCGGAUAUGACUCCUCAUCGCAUGGUGGGGGGUGGAAAGCUUUUUGUGGUUUUGGAUGGACUCGCGGCCUAUCAGCUUGUUGGUGAGGUAAUGGCUCACCAAGGCGACGACGGGUAGCCGGCCUGAGAGGGUGACCGGCCACACUGGGACUGAGACACGGCCCAGACUCCUACGGGAGGCAGCAGUGGGGAAUAUUGCACAAUGGGCGCAAGCCUGAUGCAGCGACGCCGCGUGAGGGAUGACGGCCUUCGGGUUGUAAACCUCUUUCAGUAGGGAAGAAGCCGCAAGGUGACGGUACCUGCAGAAGAAGCGCCGGCUAACUACGUGCCAGCAGCCGCGGUAAUACGUAGGGCGCAAGCGUUAUCCGGAAUUAUUGGGCGUAAAGAGCUCGUAGGCGGUUUGUCGCGUCUGCCGUGAAAGUCCGGGGCUCAACUCCGGAUCUGCGGUGGGUACGGGCAGACUAGAGUGAUGUAGGGGAGACUGGAAUUCCUGGUGUAGCGGUGAAAUGCGCAGAUAUCAGGAGGAACACCGAUGGCGAAGGCAGGUCUCUGGGCAUUAACUGACGCUGAGGAGCGAAAGCAUGGGGAGCGAACAGGAUUAGAUACCCUGGUAGUCCAUGCCGUAAACGUUGGGCACUAGGUGUGGGGGACAUUC